rnacentral:lncRNA from 1 species
GAGUCCGAGAUGGAGUCCGAGGUGGACCCGAGAUGGACCCGAAAUGGAGUCCGAGAUGGAGUCCGAGAUGGACCCGAGAUGGAGUCCGAAGUCGAGACGGAGACCGGAACUGAGACCGGGACCGAGACUGAGACCGAGACCGAGAUCGGGACCGAGACCGAGACCGAGGCCGAGGCCAAGACCGAGCCCGAACCCGAGCCUGAGUCCGAGUCCGAAUCCGAGUCCGAGUCCGAGUCCGAGUCCGAGUCCGAGUCCGGAGCCUGAGAGGG